GGUCCAGACUCCUACGGGAGGCAGCAGUGGGGAAUAUUGCACAAUGGGGGAAACCCUGAUGCAGCGACGCCGCGUGAGUGAAGAAGUCUUUCGGUAUGUAAAGCUCUAUCAGCAGGGAAGAAAAUGACGGUACCUGACUAAGAAGCCCCGGCUAACUACGUGCCAGCAGCCGCGGUAAUACGUAGGGGGCAAGCGUUAUCCGGAUUUACUGGGUGUAAAGGGAGCGUAGACGGCAUGGCAAGUCAGAUGUGAAAGCCCGGGGCUCAACCCCGGGACUGCAUUUGAAACUGUCAGGCUGGAGUGCAGGAGAGGUAAGUGGAAUUCCUAGUGUAGCGGUGAAAUGCGUAGAUAUUAGGAGGAACACCAGUGGCGAAGGCGGCUUGCUGGACGGUAACUGACGUUGAGGCUCGAAAGCGUGGGGAGCAAACAGGAUUAGAUACCCGGGUAC
rnacentral:rRNA from 1 species